rnacentral:rRNA from 1 species
GACGAACGCUGGCGGCGUGCUUAACACAUGCCAGUCGAACGGAAAGGCCCUGCUUGCAGGGUACUCGAGUGGCGAACGGGUGAGUAACACGUGGGUGAUCUGCCCUGCACUUCGGGAUAAGCCUGGGAAACUGGGUCUAAUACCGGAUAGGAGCCAUUUUUAGUGUGAUGGUUGGAAAGUUUUUUCGGUGUAGGAUGAGCUCGCGGCCUAUCAGCUUGUUGGUGGGGUAAUGGCCUACCAAGGCGGCGACGGGUAGCCGGCCUGAGAGGGUGGACGGCCACACUGGGACUGAGAUACGGCCCAGCCUCCUACGGGAGGGAGGAGGGGGGAAGAUUGCACAAUGGGCGCAAGCCUGAUGCAGCGACGCCGCGUGGGGGAUGACGGCCUUCGGGUUGGAAACUCCUUUCGCUAGGGACGAAGCUUUUUGUGACGGUACCUAGAGAAGAAGCACCGGCUAACUACGUG